AUGGCCCAGAUCGAGCUCUCUGUGGCGUCGCCCCGCGCCCUCACGGAGCUCGGCGGCGACAGCCUCCUCAACGGCAGCGGCAGUCCGCCCUGGGAACGCGCAUCCCCGUCCGACUGGGUUGGUAAGGUCGACAGCAUGCAGCGCCUCGCCCUCUCGUCCCGCCUCGGCGUCCCCAUCAUCUACGGCAUCGAUGCCGUCCACGGCAACAACAAUGUCAUCGGCGCCACCAUCUUGCCCGACAACGUCGGCCUCGGAGCCUCCAGGCACAUUACAUACCGAUCGACCACGUUGAGCAAUAUAGUAGCUUUUGUACGUUUACUAUGUUGA
rnacentral:rRNA from 1 species